rnacentral:RNase_P_RNA from 2 species
GGAGUCGGCCAAGACAACCGCGUCGCGACUUGAUCGCGCCGAGGAAAGUCCGGGCUCCACAGAGCAGGGUGCCAGGUAACGCCUGGGCGGCGCGAGCCGACGGAAAGUGCAACAGAAAACAAACCGCCGAACGGCUCGAAAGAGUGCGUGGUAAGGGCGAAACGGCGAGGUAAGAGCUCACCGCAUGCGGGGCUAACGCCGCAUGGCACGGCAAACCCCACCCGGAGCAAGGCCAAAUAGGGGGACUAUGGGUUGGCUCGACCCGUCCCCGGGUGCGCUGCUUGAGCCUUGCCGCGAGGCAAGGCCGAGAGGAAUGGUUGUCCACGACAGAACCCGGCUUACUGGUCGGCUCCGCCA